rnacentral:piRNA from 1 species
GAAUACCAACGGCUCUGAUGGCGG